UGAUGCUCAUCAGGCAGCAGCAUGUGUGAACUCAUCAAUGACUAUGACUGAUCUGGCUGAUCUGGGGGGCCAGGGUACUGCCCCCUUGGUCUGGCCCUUACUGAUCAGUGGGAAACCCUCCAGAAGCUGUGUGCUUGGUCAAAGAGGAUGCCCUUCCCUGACAGAAAGAGCAGUUCUUUGGUCACGAAUACACAGACAGUAUACUGAUGAUAUGAAGAAACAGAUUUUUAGCUCCUUUGACAACAUUGUACUAUGAGUUUUUCUUA
rnacentral:snRNA from 1 species